GUUGGAAAUCUGAGAAAAUAUCGGCAUCAUGUCAAAAGAUGUUGACAGAAAGCAGGUGUUUCAAACCACCAGGGUGCGGACUUCACUGAAGAAUGAUGUCAGUUGGAUCCAAAAAUCAAAUCAGGAAGAUAAAGAAGAAGACAAAGCAAGGAAGGACGAUGCUGUGGAGACCAGACCUGUAGUUGUCAGACAGAGUUCAUACGUCCUGUCCACAGCCAAGAAAUUUGACAAUUCAGCUUAUCGGGCAAAUGGUGAAGUUAUUCCUCUUCAAAAAGAUGCUCAGCCUGAGGGGUCAACAGUGGAGACCACAGAUGGUACAAAGCCCCAAGUACUCCCAGAAGAAGUUAUCCAAAAUGAUGAAGCACAACCAGAAAAAUCUGUUGCCAACACAUCUGCAGAAAACAAGGAAGAUGCAGCAAUUGACCAGACAAACGUAGAACACAAUGAGAAGGCUACUGAGGUCUCUGCAGAUAUUCACGUAGAAGAACAUAUCCAAAAUGGCGAGGCACAGCAAGUUUCUUCAGCAAAGGAAAAUCCAGAGGCUGUGUCUCCUAUGGAGUCAGCUGAGCAGCCAGUUGCCAACACAGCAGCAAAAAAAAAAGGAGAAUGUGCUGAUAUAAUAGUUGACCAGUCAAACACGGAACACAUUGAGGUCAAGGUCUCUGCAGAUGCUCAUGUGGAAGAUCCUGUUGCAGAAACAUCUGCUACGGUUGGCACAGAGGAGAGUAAAGACGUCCCUGCUGCACCUUCGGAACCUUCAGACGAAACACAGUCAGCAAAUGCAACACAUUUGGAGGAUGCAGGGGUAGAAUCGACUGUCCAACCUGCAGAGGAGAGUUGUGGGAAAUGUCCACUAAAACAGUCUGCAGAAGAAAUAGCUGAAACCGUAGCUGAGGCUCAGGUGGAGUCAUCCCCUGAUAAGAGUGAUGUGAUUAAUGCAACCCCAGGAGUUGAAUCUGCUCUCCAAGACAAUGUGGCACCAAUCCCUGACUUAGUCGCAGAACCUGCAUCUGAAUCACCCUCUCAACCUGCUGCUGAUCCAGCUGCUGCAGAGGGGAGUUGUGAGAUAGGUCCUCCAGAACAGGCUGCAGAAGAAAUUGCUGAAGCCGUAGCUGAGGCUCUGGUGGAGUCAUCCCCUGACAAGAUUGAUGUGAUUAAUGUCCCAUCAGGAGAUGAGGCUGCUCUCCAAGACAAUGUGGAACCAGUCCCUGACUUAGAGGCAGAUAUUGUAUCCGAAUUGCCUAUUCAACCUACUGCUGAAACUACAGUCAAGUCUCUAAAGUGUAAUGUCGACUCUGCAGCAGAGUCAGCUUUAGAGACCAGAGCUGAAGAGGUAGUUGAGUCUGAAAUCCAGCUUGCUGACAACACUAUCGUUAAACAAAGUGUUGCACCCGAGAGUGCAGCAGAUCGUGUGGAUGAGUUGAGCAUCGAAGAUGCAGUUGAACCUGUGACAGCUUUAGAUGCUGAGGCUGUUCAGGAUAAGUUAGUUUACAGAGCCAUUGAACUGACAGAGGCAUUAGAUGUGGAGCCACCCACAGCUGAAUCUGCUCCUGAACCCCUAAAAGAUCAAGAGCAACCCCACACUGAGGAGACGAAACUGAACCAGUCUGAUGAUACCAACAUCUCUGAAAAGUUUGAAAAGCCUGUGGAGGAGGAGCCACAAUCCACACAAACUCUGAAUGACACUAGGUACAGCAGAAAUAUGUGUUCAUUCUGUGACAAAAUAAUUGAUGGGAAUGUCAAGCUCACAUUCAGUGAACCUCUGGUGAAGUACCAUCCAGAGUGUCUGAAGUGUGGUGUGUGUGCUAAGGCCCUGGGAGAUAUGCUGACCCCCAUGUUUUUGUAUAACCAAGUGAUCCAAUGUGAUGGCUGCUUUGCAAAAACUCUCUAG
rnacentral:lncRNA from 15 species